rnacentral:rRNA from 1 species
UACGUAGGGGGCAAGCGUUGUCCGGAUUUAUUGGGCGUAAAGAGCGUGUAGGCGGCCAGGGGAGGUCCGUUGUGAAAACUCGAGGCUCAACCUCGAGACGCCGAUGGAAACCCCCUGGCUAGCAGUCCGGAAGAGGAGAGUGGAAAUUCCUGGUGUAGCGGUGAAAUGCGCAGAUAAUCAGGAGGAACACCAAUGGCGAAGGCAGCUCGCUGGGACGGUACUGACGCUGGAGACGCGAAAGCGUGGGGAGCAAACAGG